AACGAACGCUGGCGGCAUGCCUAAUACAUGCAAGUCGAACGAGACCUUCGGGUCUAGUGGCGCACGGGUGCGUAACGCGUGGGAAUCUGCCCUUGGGUUCGGAAUAACAUCUGGAAACGGAUGCUAAUACCGGAUGAUGACGAAAGUCCAAAGAUUUAUCGCCCAGGGAUGAGCCCGCGUAGGAUUAGCUAGUUGGUGGGGUAAAGGCCUACCAAGGCGACGAUCCUUAGCUGGUCUGAGAGGAUGAUCAGCCACACUGGGACUGAGACACGGCCCAGACUCCUACGGGAGGCAGCAGUAGGGAAUAUUGGACAAUGGGCGAAAGCCUGAUCCAGCAAUGCCGCGUGAGUGAUGAAGGCCUUAGGGUUGUAAAGCUCUUUUACCAGAGAUGAUAAUGACAGUAUCUGGGGAAUAAGUCACGGCUAACUACGUGCCAGCCGCCGCUGUAAUAC
rnacentral:rRNA from 1 species